rnacentral:pre_miRNA from 1 species
UGUGUUCACUGCAGACCUUGAUUUAAUGUCACACGAUUAAGGCACGCAGUGAAUGCCA